UUCGGUGAGAACAAGUCCUUAUGUGAGAGCACUACUAAUAUAUGAGAACAAAUCUAGGCCUUAGGAUCAAAUGUUAUCAACGACUCACAUCAAACGACCUCCAUAUCCAUUCCGUUCUCUCCAUUUCCAACUCUUUCCAGGUACUUCCUUUCUCACUCCUCUCUAUUUUCGCCAUUUUCGGACCUCAAGCUUUUUCUGCAAGCUUUUAUACUUACAACAUUGGAGCUUAUUGCAUAGUCUCAAGGCUACAAUGGUCCGAAACCGACCACAAAUUUGGUCGCUGACUGGGUCUCUGUCAACGACAAUGUCGCUCAUAGCUUGCCUAUUUAUGUCGGCGGUUUCUCUCUCCUCGCCUCCUCUUCAAUCAUACUAUUUCGGGCAUUGCUCAUGUUGUCGACGCCAAUAGCUCAUAGUCAAGGGCAUAUCUGUUGGCUCUUGGAUUGGCUGUUACACUGGAUAGAUGCAGUAGCAAGAUCUAACAAUCUACCAUGUACAAGUUAUGCAGAGGCCCGGCAGUAGACUUGGAAGAGUUGCCACUUCUGCCAUUGAGGUGUUUGUUGAUGAGGAAUGUUCAGAAUUGCAACAAACUAGUGAUUCUCAAAGCAUUACAAAUUCCCAAUUGAAGGACAGGGAAGAAGUUAACCUCAAAAGGCUUUAUUAUGAGGAUCGAGAGGAUGUUCAUAUGCACUAGCUCAAGUACUCAACUCACCAUAAUAUUUGCAUCUAAAUGUUGUAUUAUGGCAAGUCUGAACUGCCAUUUUUGCCACCAAAUACACAGGUAUGCUCCGUCUUAUUGUCUAAUGAUAAUGUACCUUAGGGCUUGAAUAAUGUAGGUGCAAUCAAUAGGUGUAUGUCAGUAGUGAUCAUGAUUAGGGAAGAUCCCUUCUUGUAUAGGUUUUCUGGAACAUUUCAUUUAUGUGUAGCGAGACUCCUGCAGGUCCAUAGGAACACUAAAUAGUCCAUAGGUCCAUAUGUCCAAGUAUUAUUGGUGUUUUGAUUGUGUUUCCUACCAUUGUUGUUCUGAUAGAAUUCAAUAACUUCUCUGGUUAGAUUGAUUAUAAAACCUAUUAGCUAAAUUGGUAGAGCACUAUGCAAAUUCAUAGGGGAUGUAGGUUUAAUUCCUACAUAGGUUAUUGGUAGGCGUGUCACGUACCUAUCAAAAAUAACCUAACAGACCAAUACUAAUGUAGACUGGCAAGUAAGGUUUAAUUCCUACAUAGGUUAUUGGUAGGCGUGUCGCAUACCUAUCAAAAAUAACCUAACAGACC